GAAAUAAGAUUUUAAAUGAGUGCUAAGAGAAUGAUUAAACAAUUAAAAGCUUUCUUUAAUUAAAAAAUUAAAUUUAAUUUUUUAGUGCAAAAGCAAAAAUAAAAUUUAGGGACAAGAAGACCCUAUGAAUUUUUAUUGUUAAUAAUUAAUAUUUAAGUUAUUAAUAAUUUAAUUGGGGCGAUAAAAAAAGAAUAAGUAUCUUUUUAGUUAUAAAAUAAGUUCCGUUUUUAGCGAUUAAAUGAAAUAAAUACUCUAGGGAUAACAGCGUAAUAAUUUUGGAUAGUUCAUAUAGAUAAAAUAGUUUGCGACCUCGAUGUUGGAUUAGGAUUCUU
rnacentral:rRNA from 1 species